UACGUAGGUGGCAAGCGUUGUCCGGAUUUAGCUGGGCGUAAAGAGCGCGCAGGCGGUCGGAUAAGUCGAAUGUGAAAGCCCCCCGGCUCAACUGGGGAGGGUCAUUCGAUACUGUUCGACUCGAAGGCAGGAGAGGGAAGCGGAAUUCCCGGUGUAGUGGUGAAAUGCGUAGAUAUCGGGAGGAACACCAGUGGCGAAGGCGGCUUUCUGGCCUGUUCUUGACGCUGAGGCGCGAAAGCCAGGGGAGCCAAAGCGGG
rnacentral:rRNA from 1 species